rnacentral:rRNA from 1 species
UACAGAGGUCUCAAGCGUUGUUCGGAUUCAUUGGGCGUAAAGGGUGCGUAGGCGGCGCGGUAAGUCGGGUGUGAAAGCCCCGGGCUCAACCUGGGAAUUGCAUUCGAGACUGAAUAGCUAGGGUACGGUAGAGGGAAGCGGAAUUUCCGGUGUAGCGGUGAAAUGCGUAGAUAUCGGAAGGAACAUCAGUGGCGAAAGCGGCUUCCUGGACCAGUACCGACGUUCAGGCACGAAAGCGUGGGGAGCAAACAGG